GCAGAUGAACUACAGGUGGUGAUGAUAGAUGGAGAAAGGGCAGAGGAUGGGCAAAGAAAUUGUCAGAUGAAAAGGAAAAGGGGAGCAGAGCAUCUCAGAGAUGGAUUAUCAGAUUGCUACUUGCCUGCAAGAAGAAGGAGAAAUGAAAAAAAAAAUAGAUAGGAAGUGAAGAAAAAUUUAAAAAAAUCAUUCCCUGAUGAAGACUGCGUAUACAGUCGAAACGCGUAGGAAGUAAAGUUUUUAAAGUUUAAAAUC